GACAGUGUGUCCGAGCGGCUAAGGAGAUGGACUAGAAAUCCAUUGGGCUCUGCCCGCAGGGGCUCGAAUCCCCUCGCUGUCG
rfam:Symbiodinium microadriaticum strain CCMP2467 Smic.scaffold270, whole genome shotgun sequence.